AAUGGGUCAGCGGUCUUCUAAUGAUGAAGUCAGGGAGUUUUCCUCACCUUGAACUUUUCAUCUUUGUCUAAUUGCUAGGUUCUCAUGCUCUUUGGCCAUGGAUCAAGUUCCCAACCUGGUUCUGGCUGGCUUCAGAGCCCAGCCUGGAGUGGAGGAGGCUCAGAUUUGCACAAGGCUACUCUGAGUGCUAGGGGAUGGAUGAGAGAAAUGGUGGGGUGAAGGUAGGGAGGGAGUCUGAUUGAUUGUAAGCCAUAAAGGGCCUUGAUUUUCAUAUAUGUUCGGACUGCAUGAGGAGGUUUCUGGGGAUCAAUGUCAGCUGGAGAUUGCUGAUACCAAUUUAUAAACGGGGAAAGAAUAUAUGGGGAAAAAAGACCUUCUCUCUUUUUGUUUUGGAAUGAAAUACGUUUUGAAUGGGGUGAAAGCUUAGACAAGAGCUACC